rnacentral:lncRNA from 1 species
AUUUGGCAGUGCUAAAAUAUUAGCUCAUUUUUGCAGUGCAAAAGUCAACAAACUGUUUCUGUGUCUAAUUAGAAUUGCCUGGUGGUUUUAUACAAACUAAUGAACUGAAGAAAUAAAAAAUGUGGCAGUGAAAAUGCCUGGCCCGUCUGUGGUCAGCUACUCUCUAUAAUCGCAAGGAUCAGAGGACAUACCCUUCUGAACUGAAUCUUACUCAUCUCCAACACCUUGCAUGUCAGGAACAGCACCUGUCUAAAGCUCUUGAGAUGCAGGGUGAUAAACUUCCAUGGCCUGAGGGAACAUUAAGGGUAAGAAUGGAAGAAUGAAAACCUUCAUUCUAGACAGGAAUGUAUCCAGAAAAACAAACAAGCUACGUGAUGACAUCUUCUACUUAACCUCUUACUGUUGUGUGAAAGUGCAGAAAAGGAAGUGACACGGAAGUAAGGAAAGCAAGUGACUGAGCAAACGACAGUGAUUAGGAUGUUUUGGCAGAAGCUGGGAGUCCUGGAUUUUAGGAAAUCUUCAGCUAAUAUUAUACAAAGUGAUGACAGUCACAAACAACAGUGGUCACACUGAAUAUGGUCAGCUACAACCCACAAUUUCAACCUAGCUCAUCAGUUGGAGCACAGUAUACCUGAACCACCUCCCAAAGAAUGCAGCUGUCCAGUGGUUUAAGCCAGACAUACUUGAAGCUGCCAUCUCCUGUGUCUUCUGACCUUUCUGGAAAUAUAUAUACAUUUUCACCUGGCUGGCUUGGUUCUUAAAUGAUACAGAUUCAGAAUUUAAAUACUCUUUAAAAAAAAAAAAAAAAAAAGCUUUUCAGCACUGAAAGACUUGCGUCUUGUUGAAGGGGAUGGAUGAUUUACUGCCCCGGUUGUUAAGUUACCAGAAGACAAUGAAUUAGAAAAGUAGCUAUAAAAACUCAACUCUAUUAAGUUAUUUAAGUGAAAGACUCUAAUGUAAGACCCAAUCUCUUAAAAUGUUCCUUAAUAUUAAAUUAUUUUCAAGCAUUCUUACAAAGGGAACCAGUAAUUUUUUAGGAAAUUUACUCUGGUAGUUCUCUAGUUCUCUUCAUUUCACCAGCACUUGAGGGGAAAAAAAAUAAAAGUCUUUUAUAAUCCUUCA